ensembl:lncRNA
GGGGAACUGGAAUGAGUGGGAUCCAGCAUCUUUUGUUGGGACAGAAAGGCAGGGAGCAGUGAAGUCCAGGGACACCCUCCUUUGGGCUACGUUGUGCAAGAAAGCUUCAUAGACAAUUAGUCUUUGUCCCCCUGCAAAUCCCAGCAGACGUCAGACAUCGAGCCCCUGAGAUUUUUCUGCUGAAACGGCUGCUGCUUUUGUUCAUUGGAAUAAUUGCCUGUGCUGGGGGCUAGAGGCUUGCAGCCCACAGUUCGUGGGAGGGCUGAUUCCUGCCCGAUCUGGAUUCCAGCACGUGAGUCUGUGCCCAGGCCCCUCCCACCCUGACAGCCCUUGGCCAGGGCUAAGCUGGGUACAGACUUGCGGGGUUCAGUGCAUGAUGAAAGUGUGGGGCCCCUGGUUCAAAAAGUAUGAAGAGGAGUUCCUGUCCUGGCGCAGCGGAAACGAAUCCGACUGGGAACCAGUGGGUUAAGGAUCUGGUGUUUCCGUGAGCUGUGGUGUAGGUCGCAGACAUGGCUCAGAUCCCGCGUUGCUGUGGCUGUGGCUGUGGCAUAGGCUGGCGGCUAUAGCUCUGAUUUGACCCAUAGCCUGGGAACCUCCGUAUGCUGUAGGUGCGGCCCUAAAAAGCGCGCACACACACAUACACACACACACACAUUAUGAAGAGUUUCAGGAGGGUGACAGUAGAGCAUUGAACCAAGCACAGGCCCUUCUGAGCGCUGGGCACCCUGUGACCUCAAGGGUUGCAUGCCUUGAGACCAGCCUUGCUCAAGGAGCCUCUGGGGCCGGGCGAUUCUGUGAUCUUGGAACCAGUCCUGAGAUCUGGCCGAUUGCUGAUGUGUGGGAGACAGGUGGGCUCCCCAUCCUUGGAAGGUCAGGUACAGACGUCAGGGAGUGCCUGGCUUGAACCCCCUGUGAUUUGAGGAGGGGGCUCCUGGUACAGACAGCGAAGUGCUGUCCUCACCCCUCCCCAGCUGCCCUGGUUGUGGGCACCACUCUCUCUCCUCUGGACAUUUAUGUGAGGUGGUUUAUGUAGGGUUAGGUGGGCUGUUGGGAGCAGACAGAAAAGAAACAAGGGGAAGACACAUGUAACGGAGAUGGAAAGAAGAGGAAUGGCUCAUGAACGUCACAGAACUGCCGGAACCAUUUCCCAAAAUUAUCAGUACCUUUCAUGCCACUAUUCCAAGGGAGCAUGUGACCUUAAUUAGAAUAUUUAGAAGAUGUGAGCAGUAGAAGCAUAAAUUUGUAGAUUGCCGUCUUCAUUCAUUCAACAAACACUUCUUGAGUGCGUCCCAAGUGCUGGGGCCUGGGCGUGGCAGCGAGCAGAGCGAGAUCCAAAGAGGAUUCAGGGAAUUAGCCACAAGGAGUGUCUCAUGUGGGCAUCUUGGGGCUGAGUGCGGCUAACUCGAUACCUGUCCUUUAAGUCCAUGGAACAGAAGAAACGUGGCUGGUGCGCGAGAAGGAAGUGUCCUCGAGGAGCCGGCGCAAGUGGUUGGAGCUGGCUGCUGCCCACCUCUCAGCCACCCUCUGGCUCUGCUCGCCGCUGCAGAGUGAUCCUGCCUGCAGGGGGCCUUUCCUCUUGGUCACAGAGAUGGCACAGUCAUCCUCUCGGCUCAUGCCUGUGGGACAGCUGGGGAUGCCUGCCUACCUCCAACCCCUGACUGUGCCCACAGAGGGCUGCCUGCAGCUGGCUUGGCCCUGACCCAGCUGGGGCCCCUGGUAAUGGGGCAGGCCCCGCAUAUCCAGCCAGUGGCAGUUCUUUAUUCCAGUGGGGCAGGUCCUCACCUCCCAGCCAAGUGGGAAGGGGGAGGCUUCCUCUGUCAGUCCACCCGCCAUGACAAAGGACCACAGACUGGACGGUUUAAACCACAGUUUCUUUCUUUCUGUUCUGGAGCCUUAAAGUCCAAGAUCAAGAUUUCGGCAGGGUUGUGAUCUGAGGCCUCUGCUGGGCUUGUAGACGGCCACCUUCUCCCUGUGUCUUCACCUGGUGGUCCCUCAGCGAUGCCCGAGUCCUAACCUGCUUCUCUUAUAAGGACACCAGUGCCCGUUGGGUCCGAGCCACCCUCGUGGCAUCAUUUUACCUACCUUUCUCCCUCAAGGGCCUUGUCUCCAAGUGUAGUCACAUUCUGAAGUAAUGGGGUUAGGACUUCAGCAGAUGAAUGGGGGGGUACAGCUCAUCCAGGGGGCCACUGCUGGGUGCGCAGAGAGACUCCCCAGGUCACAGCAGGGCCAGAUUCAGCAGAGAGGGAAGAGUACUCCAGAGGCUCAGGGUCGGACCUUCCGGGUGAGCUGAAGAGUUAGUCGGAUCCCAGAUGUGUCCAUCAGACACACGGAGCCAGCCCGUUACAAGGAAAAUCAGAGCAAACAAAACGUGAGGGGAUGGGUGUUAAUGCGAGCUCUGAAUAGGGCUGGGAGCCAGCCCGCCCAAUAGAAAAGCAGGAGAUGAAAUCGGAAAGGAAAAGAUGGCUGGAUCUCAAAAAAAAUAAAGCCUAAAAAAACUUUUAUAAAAAACUUUCACAGAGAAAGCCGAACAGAUUGGAAAACAUAAUUGCGAUAAAUAGGACACCGAAUUUCUCACCUUUAAAUAUAAAGAGGUAAUGUAGACUGGUGAGAACUAUGCAGAUUAGAAGAGUAGACCAAACCUUAAAGAGGAAAUUAUGGAGCAGCGACUAUUUAGUAAACUAGUGAAAAAAUACACGUUUCACUGGUCACCAAGGAGAUGACCUGAAAACAGAGUUUUGUCACGCUUGUCCUCCCAGUUCUACCAAGUUUUCUUUUAAGUGACAUUACUCACAACUGCCCCGAAUCUGUUGAGUUAGCACUUUUACAAUGUAUCCAGAAAUGUUAAAUUGAAGUGGAAAAGAAAUUGACAAAAUAUGCCAAGAGCCAGAGAAAUGGUUGUGUGCUUUUAUUCAGUGGUUCCAGAGCGAGUCAGGAAAAAAAAGGAGUAAUCCAUGUGGGUGGGGUGGGACCUGUAGGAGGCAGCCCCCCAGGCAGGGCAGGGGCUCCUGCCCCCCAGCUGGCCACCUGUGCUCUGUAGGGCCUGCAGGGGGCCCUUCUGCUCGGUCUGCCGCCCUGCUCCGCCCCAGCCUGCAAGGUCAGACACCGUCUCAGCCCAGGCAGGCUGCACUGCGGCUCCUCCUUCCUCAGCUCUUUCUCUCUGUGCUCCGACUGUCCUGUGAGCUGGGAACCCCCGGAAGCAGGGCCUGGGUCCCUCUGUCCCCGUGUCCCCCGUUGCGAGCAGCAGAUGUGCAGCGGGUCAGUGCUGACUGGAAGGGUGUGGCCAGGGUGGUGGUCAGAUCUGGGCCUUGUGUGGUGCCGUCUUCCAGAAUGGACCUCAGGUCCCUGCCUCCUGGAGGUAUGUAUCAGGUGGCCAGCACCACCCAACCCUCUCCCAUCUUACUCAGUCCUCGUGGCAGAGUGAGGAGCUCAAUCCCCAGGCCACACAAGAGUUGACCAGGCCAUAUCUGCCCUCCCUUGUUCAGGAUUCAGUGAGCUCCCCGCCACACCCCGACACACACAUGGCCUCGUUCCCCCUGGAGCUGGGGUGAGCAUGCUUUUCUCCUGCUGAGCCCCCACCCUCUGCUACCCAGGGAAGUUCCCCCUCAGGCCUUCCAGAGAUGAGACCUUGGGCCCUGAGCAGUGGACACCAUGCUGGAUUACAGACUGGCCCUAAUCCAGUGUGACUUCCACAUUGUGACUUUUCAGGGCCUGCUCAUGUAUAAAAUCCGUUUAUUCCUUCUUUCCUAAUCCGACGUACGAUAGGGGCCUGGUUUAGCCGCAUUUGGGGUAAUGGACCUGCCAAGGUGGUGUCCUUCCUGGUGCUUUGAGGUCAGCCCCCCAACGCCAGGGCCAGGAGCACCAGCCAGGGCCCCGGAGAGCUGGAGCCCAGCGGCGAGGCAGGGAAGCGGGUUCAAGUGAGAGCCCCAGGCGGUCAGUGUGAGGAGUUCCUUCCUGAGGGGCGUCCGUCUCUCUGGUUUCUUGGCUCCCCCUGGGCUGCCCUCAGCACCUUUACUUUAGUGCAGACAGACCCCGCUGGGGAGCCAGCAGUCACUUGUCACUGUGCGUAGAUCUCAGUAAAUAUGUGUUUAGAACCAAAAGGAGGGAGCUGUUCAUUUCACGUGCAAACUAAGGCUGCCGUGGUCGCAGCCUGCAUGAGAUGAGCUAGGGCUGUCCACCGGCCUGGCUGCAGGAUGUCUAGGAAGUGGGUUCGUCUCCAUAUUCCUUAGGUGGGUGACCUUUCCUUCCCGACGGAAUGGGUGGUGUGUGGCUCUUGUGUGGGAGGAGGGCACUCCCUUCUGGGGACCCCACUGGACCCUCUUCCAAGCAUAGCAAUCUUCCUGUGAUCUCUGCAGGUCUGCAGGACCUCAGAGGGGGGAAUGAGGAGCUACUGAUGCCUGGGGGCACAGGUGGCUGUGCCGUGGGAGUGCGGUGAACCUACCCCUUAGACCUCGAGGGACUGAGGGCUCCUUGGGAACAGAGGGACCUGGUUUGUUUGUCCACUCCUCACCUAGUCAGGGGUCUUUGGUAAUAGGACCUGGAUUUGUGUCUGAGGAAACCCCCAUGUGCUCCACAGAGGGUCUUCCCGUACUCAGGGCGCCCGGGGCACGGGGACGCAGCCUCAGCAGCGCCUCUCUUAUCUGGGGCCACCUGGGGGUGGGCUCGUGUCGACCAGAGCCAGGAAACGUUUGCACCUUUCUGGAUUCCUGGGCGAGAAAAGCUUCCUGGAUGCCAGGCAGGGUAGGGGUGUGGCGUCCAGAAGGAGCAAAUCCUCUGGGAGUGGUGCUUCCGAGGAGCAUGGAGCUCAGAGCAGAGAGAAGAAGCUGACCCUGGGGCGGUGACGCCAACACAUGAGAAUGCGGUCGGACUGCAGAUUCUCAGCUGCAGAAUCACACCCGUCCCGUGUUGGCUUAUGCUUCGGGUUUUCUGUCUCCUGUGUGGAAAGAGAACUAAAAGGCUCAAGGGCUUGAGAAUGAACGAUUCCAAAAACUGCCAGCGCCUGGCAGUGGGAGAUGGGGUGAAAGGCGAGUGUGCUGGGCCUAGUCUGUGGACGCCACUCUCUGUCCUUAGGGUGGGUCAGGCAGGGGCACUUCCUGGGAAAGGCGGUUCUCCUGACGCUGGGAAGCACGACUUGGGAUGCGGGUGGUGAGGGUUAUUCCAGGGGGUAGUGGGGAAGGACAGGCUAGCUGCUUCCCCACCUGCAUACUGGCACCUUGUCCUCUCGCUGCCUCAGUGCUGGCAGGUGGGUUGGGAUUGGUUUUUGAGAAGACAGUGAAACAGGAAGUGAAAGCUCAUUUUCCAAACAGAAGGGUGUUUUCAGACGGGCUUUUUGAUGGAUUUGUGUUUUUCAAAAUCCAUUCCAUCAGGAGAAGUUAAGAAAAGGAAAAUCUGAUUUUCUGGAACAUUGGAGAUGGGAAAAGGCCCAGCUCCUCACAGGUGGAGACCGAGUUUAACUAAGUUUAUGAUUUGAAGGCUCUAACGAGUUUGAAAAAGUCCCCUUGUCCCUUAAAUCAGGUUCAGGUGGAAAAACUGAUGUGUUGUGCCCGUGGAGAUGGAAUAAACCUUUGGCUGAAGGAAGAAUAAAGCCAUCAGCUCCCUCUUAGCAGGUUUCCGCCUCUCGCUUCUGCCCGUCCACCAUAUGGCGCGUUUUCUGAGCGGAGCGCUUUGCCUGUUCAGGAAAAGUGGUUGCUUUUCAGCGCAGUUAAUUUAGUAGGACACAAAUGUUGCUGACUGCUGGGAGUAAGGUUUGAUCAAACGGAUUGGUUAAUUGGUUGCAGAGACAUGUUGACCACGUGAAAGAGGGUGAAAGCGCAGUCGGACGCACUGUCAUUAGGGCGGCCUUGCCCCCCUUUGCCUGUGGGGAAGGGGUCUCUGGGUGGUUGCCCAGAGCUGGAAACUGUCCACCGUUUGUUUGAGAAGCAUUCGUUCCAUGUGCCAGUCAGAGCUGAGAUGCCGGCCAGGUGGGGUGGCCCUGGGUGCCGGUCCUCGGGCCUCCCCCAGGUGGGGAGGCCGCCUCACCUGUUCAUUUCCCGGAAGCCUCCAGAGCACGUGCCUUGCUGUCUUCCACCCACUCCGUUAUUUCUGAAAGCGGAUAAAUAAAGGGGCUUGAGCCAUCCAGUCUCCCAGCACCUGCACUGUAACUCUCUCAAACCCUGCUGGCAUUCAGGAGUUGGCUAGCCAGCCCCGACCACGUGACCCGACGGGACUGUAGCUGCAGCGCGAUCCACUGAGGCGCGUGCGGGGCCGCAGCCCCCCCAUCUGUGGUCGAGACCAUGUUUCUCAACCUGGGCACUGCUGGGUGACCCUCCGCGUGGGGUCUGGCCUGGGUACUGCAGGGUGUCUACUCACUCCAUGCCAGUACCCCCCCGUCCCCAGUUGUGAUGACCACAGAUGCCUCCAGACUGUGCCCAGUGUCUCCUGGGGACAGAAUCCCCCUGGUCAAGAACCACAGCUCUAGACACCCUGCAGUACCCAGGUUCAAAACUGGCCUCCCAGAGUUCCUGUUGUGGCUCAGGGGGUUAUAACCCGACUACUAUCCAUGGGGACGUGGGUUCA